AUUGAACGCUGGCGGCAGGCCUAACACAUGCAAGUCGAACGAGUGGCGGACGGGUGAGUAAUGUAUGGGAAAGUGCAUGAUGGAGGGGGGUAACUACCGGAAACGGUAGCUAAUACCGCAUACCAUCGGAUGUGCCCAGGUGGGAUUAGCUGGUGGGUGGGGUAAAGGCGCACCUAGGCGAGGAUCCGUAGAGGGUGUGAGAGGAUGAGCCGCCACCCUGGGACUGAGACACGGUCCAGACUCCUACGGGAGGCAGCAUUGGGGAAUGUUGGACAAUGGGCGCAAGCCUUAUUCAGCCAGGCCGCGUGUAUGAAGAAGGCCUUCGGGUUGUAAAGUACUUUCGUCGGGGAAGCGUUACCCGCAGAAUAAGCACCGGCUAACUCCGUGCCAGCCGCCGCGGUAAUAC
rnacentral:rRNA from 1 species